CCUACGGGUGGCAGCAGUGAGGAAUAUUGGUCAAUGGACGAAAGUCUGAACCAGCCAUGCCGCGUGGGUGAAGAAGCACUCCGGUGCGUAAAGCCCUGUCAGCAGGGAAGAAAAUGACAGUACCUGGACAAGAAGCCCCGGCUAACUACGUGCCAGCAGCCGCGGUAAUACGUAGGGGGCAAGCGUUAUCCGGAUUUACUGGGUGUAAAGGGAGCGCAGGCGGCGUGGCAAGUCAGAUGUGAAAACCCGGGGCCCAACCCCGGGAGUGCAUUUGAAACUGCCAUGCUGGAGUGCCGGAGAGGUAAGCGGAAUUCCUAGUGUAGCGGUGAAAUGCGUAGAUAUUAGGAGGAACACCAGUGGCGGAGGCGGCUUACUGGACGGUAACUGACGCUGAGGCUCGAAAGCGUGGGGAGCAAACAGGAUUAGAUACCCUGGUAGUC
rnacentral:rRNA from 1 species